rnacentral:rRNA from 1 species
AUUGAACGCUGGCGGCAGGCUUAACACAUGCAAGUCGAGCGGGGUGAUGGUGCUUGCACUAUCACUUAGCGGCGGACGGGUGAGUAAUGCUUAGGAAUCUGCCUAUUAGUGGGGGACAACAUCUCGAAAGGGAUGCUAAUACCGCAUACGUCCUACGGGAGAAAGCAGGGGAUCACUUGUGACCUUGCGCUAAUAGAUGAGCCUAAGUCGGAUUAGCUAGUUGGUGGGGUAAAGGCCUACCAAGGCGACGAUCUGUAGCGGGUCUGAGAGGAUGAUCGGCGACACUGGGACUGAGACACGGCCCAGACUCCUACGGGAGGCAGCAGUGGGGAAUAUUGGACAAUGGGGGGAACCCUGAUCCAGCCAUGCCGCGUGUGUGAAGAAGGCCUUAUGGUUGUAAAGCACUUUAAGCGAGGAGGAGGCUCUUUUGGUUAAUACCCAAGAUGAGUGGACGUUACUCGCAGAAUAAGCACCGGCUAACUCUGUGCCAGCAGCCGCCGUAA